rnacentral:lncRNA from 1 species
GGGUUAUCUAUAUUUAAAAUCUUUUACGGGUUAACUUAAAAUAUACCGUUAAACCUAAUGAAAAAUUAUUAUCUUAAAGAAAUAUGUUAAAAUGUACUUCGGUUAUGACUAUUUGACAUUCGGACACAGUUGUAUAAUAAAUUAUAACAGAUUUGCAAGAUUGUUUACUUUAGAAAGCUUUCAAAACUGAAAACAAAAAAAAAUCAUUACGCUUCUAAAUUUGGAACACCAAAAUUAACCUAUUUAUGUAUUUAAUGAGAUAUUCAUUUGUGUAGACUUUUGAGAGAUUUAAGGAGAAUGAGAUUAGUGGAUAAUUUUUUCAAUUUUCCUUUUUCUAUUCAAUAUUGUUUAUAUUUGUUUUUUUUUUAAUUAAUAGAGAAAGAUAAUUAACUCCAGUGGCAUGUUAUUGUAAAUAGUUUGAAAGUCCAAGAGUUUUUUCAAAUAGUGCUGCAAAAAUGUUAUAGUAGAUGCAAGUGAAAAUUUAUUAUUUUCUAUUAUAAACCAUCUCUCGCAAAUAUAAAAAA